rnacentral:rRNA from 1 species
CCUACGGGCGGCUGCAGUGAGGAAUAUUGGUCAAUGGACGAGAGUCUGAACCAGCCAAGUAGCGUGAAGGAUGACUGCCCUAUGGGUUGUAAACUUCUUUUAUAUGGGAAUAAAAUGUUCCACGUGUGGGAUUUUGUAUGUACCAUAUGAAUAAGGAUCGGCUAACUCCGUGCCAGCAGCCGCGGUAAUACGGAGGAUCCGAGCGUUAUCCGGAUUUAUUGGGUUUAAAGGGAGCGUAGGUGGAUUGUUAAGUCAGUUGUGAAAGUUUGCGGCUCAACCGUAAAAUUGCAGUUGAGACUGGCAGUCUUGAGUACAGGAGAGGUGGGCGGAAUUCGUGGUGUAGCGGUGAAAUGCUUAGAUAUAACGAAGAACUCCGAUUGCGAAGGCAGUUCACUGGACUGCAACUGACACUGAGGCUCGAAAGUGUGGGUAUCAAACAGGAUUAGAUACCCUUGUAGUC